AAGACUAUAAUUUCAGGGAUCACUUCUAUAGUUUGUUACUAGAGAAAUUUCUCUGACUGUGUAGAGUACCAGAAACCACGAGGAGGAGGUACAGUGUUCUCUCCUGAGCAUGAACCUGGCUUGGGUGCUGCUGUUAGGGAGCUGCCUUUUGCCAGUGAUGAUCAUUCUGCUCUGCCUCUGGUGAAGUUGGAGGGACAGAACACAGUUUGAGUGGU
ensembl:snoRNA U3 Small nucleolar RNA U3